GGAGCAGGGCGGGGUGUCUCCGGGGCGGAGGUGCCCGGAGGCAGGUGAAGCCUCCCCGGCUGUCCUGCGGUGCCCCCUGCCCCGGGCUGCUCGGCGCGGGACCGGAUGACCCUUCCUCCCCUCCACCCUACGCCGCCUGCCCGGCUGGUGGGAACAAACACAAGCUGUUCCGGACUGGGGCCGCGCAGCUGGCCCGGCGGCGGCGGCGGCGAGCUGCCGAAGGGGCCGCAGGGAAGGUCCUCAGAUUCUCUGCAAGCGUACACGGGCGAGGCUGCUCGCGCGCGGCUCUGGGGCCGCCCCCGCCGGGCACCCAAACGCCCCGGGAGCGUGUGCCGGGGGCUCUGCUUGGCGGGGAUGAGGGGUGCAGGUAUUUGUGUGUGUCUGCGGGUCUGUGUUUGCGGGGACCGUGUGCGUGCGGAUGGCAACGUGCCCGGGGAGCAGGCGGGGACGGCGUGGAGCUCCGUGUGUGGAAGCCUGUGGCUGCGAAUGCCUGCGAGACGGUGUACGGGCUGCAAGGGAGACGGCGGGCGUCUGCCUGCAUGGGAAAGCCUGAACGUGUGCGAUCGCGUGCGCGGGCCAGUAUGAGUGCUUGAAGCCGUGUGACAAAGUCCAGGUGUGAAAGAGGGAACGUGUGGCUGUGUGCGAGAUCCUCUGCGUGUGUCCCGGCCGUGAGAGGCGGCGACUCUGUUAGAGCAGGCGUGCUGCCCCGGGGAGGCAGUGCCCGUGUGAGAGAGGCAGGGAGUGUGCGUGGGAACCAACGUGCGUGUGACACGGAGUGUAUGCGUGACACGGUGUGCGAACGGCGGCGUGCUCGUGUGACUCAGCAUGCGUGCGUGUGAGGGCACGUGUGGGCGAGAGCUGCCGAGAGGCGGUGGAAGGCGGGCAAGCGCCGCGGGGUCGAGGGCGUCGGGCAGAAACCUUGCCUUGCUACCAUGCCAGUGACCUGCCCGGGCUACCCCGCUCCCUCGAGCACCCGCGGAAGCCACUUCCUGCCGGCGGGCCCCGUGGCUUCGCCAGACGAAGUCCCCGAGUCCUUCUGUCUCGGCGCACCGCGGCGCGGCCGGUACCCGCUGUGGGAGGAAGCUACUGGGGCAUGAGCCGUGGCUGGGCGGGCAGCGGGCUACGGGGGAGGGACCCUACGCCCUUCCUCUCCGGCACAGGGCCGAGGGCUGCUCUGCUCUUCCCCACCUUGUUUGUUAUGUGCGGCAGGAACUGGGAUUUUCCAUCUGCCUGCUCUGCUGGUCGUGACCUCCGCGCAGGGCUGGCGGGCACCCCCUCUCAUGAGCGGUAGCGGGCUGCUCCCCAGGCAGGCUGCUCCUCGCAUGAGCUGCCUGUGGGAAAAGGAGACGAUGGCAACGACAGGCGGAAGGGAUGGAGCUGACGGUGGGAGGCCCUGGAAACCUGCCCUUCCCGGGAAAACCUGCCAGUGUUGUCCCGCCUCUGCACGUCCAACCAUUUGGGCACAAGUGUGCUCUUUCCCUGCCCCGUGACGACCCCUCCUGAUAGGGACAGCAUAAACCCUUAAAAGGACUUUGAUUAAAAGAGUUUCGGGGUGUAGGAGAUGCCGCUGCGGCCAUUAGUCACUACCGGGAGAAGGGCCCUCAACCCUCCCCAGGGGGCUGCUUUUGCUCCACUGGAUGCCAGAAACAGGGGCAACUACAUGGGAAAGAUGCUGCGCCAGCAAGGGCGUCGGUCCCCGCCGGCGGCUCUCCACCCUGAGAGGACGGACGUGACACGAACACCGCUCUUGCUUGACCUGGCAGGGAGAGUGGCUUGCCCUUGGGGGUAGGGGAAGAGGUGUACGGGAUGUGGGCUGGCAGCGUGGAGCGGCCGCUCUCCACCAAGAACCGCGUCGCCGUCGCCAGCGCUUUGUGGAAGAGUACCGCUCAGAGCCCGUGGCGUACGGAUCCAGGCAAACUGGCACACUGCUUCGCAACUCGACUCGCCGCUGAGAGCAACUCACGGUUCCUCGAAAAGCGGCUGGGGAGUGCCAGAGGGCUUCACCUGGAAGCAGCACGGCAACAGCGCUGCGAGGAAGCAAUGGCUCUUCCCCUCUUGCGCUAUAAAGCAGAGGCUGGCUCUGUCUGAGCAGCCAGCAGUGAUAAGAGCUGAUUUACAGGUAGAGGGUGAGACGUGCUCGGAAAACCUCGUGACACUUUCCUCCGGUGGAUUCAAAUAAUAUAUAAAGACCGUGAGGUGGCGAUCUCCCGGGUAGCUCCUAGGAUGCGUGGCGUUGUUGUUAACACAUGUUUCAAUUUUGGAUUGAGACUGUCAAUUACCCACUGAGAUGCGAGUCUUAGCCUCAGGCGGGCUGGAGAGAGGGGACGGGUGUAUUUAUUAACCUCUCAAGUCUGGUGAAGCUGUGCUUCCAGCCUCUCGCUAUGGCUUUCUCUCCUUUUUCCCCAACCCCGACCCGUGCCACCCGGGCUGCUCCCGCUGCCUGCGGAAGAGGCUCUCAUCCCUGAAGAGAGCAGAGCACCGCGGUGAGCAUCACAGCUGCAGAAAGGAAGCAGCUCGCCCUGGCCAAAACAGCCCGGACGGAGUGGAGGAGACAUGUGUGGACAGUGUUUCCCCGCUUCCCAAAGGCACUUGCUUUCUGGGUGGGGAAAACAGGCCAGCUCUGCUUGACGUAGCAGAAUGGGCUUAGGGUUGUUUUGGCUUUUCGGUUGGGUUUUUUGUUUGGUUUUGGUGUGGGGUUUCCCCCCGCCCCUCAAGCGGAAGAGACUUCUGUUUCCCUAGUUGCAGAAGCAAACAGAUCCGAAACCCCGCUCCAGAAGCAGAAGCGGAAGGGCUGACAAUUAACAUUUCAUCUGGUAGCGGAGAUCUGCAGGCAGAUCUUCGGGAAGUGCAUCCCCCCUUUCCCGCGGCGUGCCCUCACCUCAUCGCACAGUGGCUACUGAGCCCUGGAUGCCCUUUUCCAAGGCAGGGAUCCUUCCGGAUGAGCCCGCCUACGGUACCCGACCCUGUCUCCCAAUGCUCCUAAGACGCUCCGCCAAGAGCAGCCCGAGGAGGCCCCCAGAAUAGCGGUUUGCCCUGUUUGUGCCUCCGCCACUUCUACUACAACCACCUGAAAAAAUCACCGUAACUGGCGAGACACCUCUGCUGCUUGCUUUCCCUUUCGCCCUUAAUUGUAGUCCCUAGCAUCCAAACUUCUCUGACCAGGGCCGAGCUGAGUCUGCGCCCUCCACACAGCCCCGGACGCCUCUCCGUGCCGGAAGAUGCGACUGCUUCGCUCCACACCAAGCCUCCGUGACGAGGAAAGCAUCGUAGGCAGCCUAUAAAUAAUUUCCAUUAUGUUCAGCUGACAGCGCGAGGCGAUUAAUUUUAAUAGCUGUAUAUUUGCCUGUUUCUCCUAAUGCUCUGUAAUGAGAUGAGAAGCCAUCCAACCCCAGAUGGCUCCAGCCGCCUCGUUAUUUAUUUAUUUUGUGUGUGCGUGCGUGUUUGUGUGUGUGUGCAAGAGAGGGGAGAACGGGAGGGAAGGCUGAAGUUCCUGUGAGGCCUCCCCUCCAUCACCCCGCGAGCUGCCCGCGUCCUCGCCGUCCCCGGUGCUGCCCGCGGGCCGGGGGAGCCAUCAUGACACUGCAUAUUCAAUCGCCGGGAACCAGAGACUCCGGGGUACACCUCCGGGAACGGGAGAGGCAGGGUCAGGGGCCGCUACCGGCUGGGUAUUUUGGGGGGUAUUUUUUCAUAUAUUCUCUCCGGCCGCGCAAAGCGUAGCUGCGGGAACGCCGGGGGGCGAUCGGCGCGGGAGUAAAUGCAGCGGAUCGAUGUCGUUCGGGGUGAAGGGAGGGCGAAGGGGACCACGGAUCAAAGCCCGUCCUAUUAACCUAAAUUUCGGCUCUGCGCGGCCUGCGGUCCGGGGGCCGGUGGGAGGGGAGGGCUUUGUGGGAGCCGGGAAAGCAAACACGCCGCCCGCUGCCAGCACCAGCCAGAGACGUGGUGGUGUGUGUGUGUGGCAGUGUGACAAAGCCUCGCAGCGCUGAGCAAGCUGUCCCUCAGCCCGGGAGGCGGGUGGGGGGAGAGGAGAAUGAAGGGAGGCUUCGAAAUGUAGGAACGCGUACCCAGAUUUAUAGACUACAAAGGGGCUAGCAGACAAUGCCCGUGCACUGUUUUAAAUGUAAAUCAGAGGGUAUCCGCAUAAACCUGUAUUGUAGGAUGGAGGCGUAAUGGAUUCACUCCGGCUGUGCCUGAGCUCGCCACAAUACAGCUGAGCAGCCGAGCUGGGAGCGCGCCGGGGGUUCUCUGCGGAAACGCAGUUGCAGGAGAACAUGAAAAGCAUUAAAUCGUGACGGGAAGGGGGCGGCGGCGGCGGUUGGGGGUGGGAAUGGAUGCGUUUACGCUCAGGAGGGAAAACUCUGGACCAGAGCAUGCUUUGCGGCGGAGCAGCCACCCGUCAUUAGCGGACGGGAAGUUUCUCCCCCUGAAGAGGCACGGGGCUGGGGUUGGCGUGUCAUGCAUCGGGGCACCGGCGGGGAUGACCCCUGCAUCUCUUCUCCCGAGGCGGAUGCUGUCCCUUGUGCCUCGCCGCCCCUCAUCCUGGGCAUGGUCAUUCUCAAAGGCUCCUGAGGGCAGCCUGGCUCAGGGACCUCGUCUCCACGACCUUCACACCCUCCUCGGGGAAGGGCGAGUCUCAGCCUGGCUCGGUACAGAGGAAUGUGACACAAGUGGAACCGGCCCGCAGCCCGUCCUUGCGGCCUCUGAGUCUUCACUAGUCGAACCACUUGGGGCCCCGGCGUCCGUCCCUUGCGAUUAGCCUGACACUGCGGAGUACGGCUCUCCUGGCGGCGCUGCCAGGCAGCCUGGGCCCCGCUGUCCCGACUCUGGCACCUGCAAGCAGCUCUGCCGGAGGCCAGGAUGUGCAGCACUGAGCCCGCAGAGAGUCUUUCUUCCUUUCACUGAUAAAACCAACCAGAGAAUCUCUUAGAAGACGGUAGCGCCGCACGGAACAAACGCCGGGCUGGAGAGAGACACGGGUCGCCCGAGGAGCGGGCAGCUACAGGGAGCAGAGCCGUGUCGAGCCGCGCUCCCGGCCACGCAUGGGGGGUGUCUGUGGAUGGGGAGGAAGCACGAACCGGGAAGAUACUCGACAGCAUCCCGGCCGAGUCUCCAGGGCCACGCUUAUUAGUGAUUUGGGUCUACCUCCUGGGUGGGCAGCUGAUCGGAGGGGUCGCGGGGCGAGUGGAGGCCACGGGAGAAACGGGAGGAGGGCCACCGCUUUCCAUGCCUUGUUGCGACGCUGGGCCACCCUCGUGCAGAUCUCGCUGUGUCACCUCCCUGAUGGCAACCACCACCCGCCUAUCCAGAAAAGUCGUCAGCCUGGUACCGUCGCUUCCCUCGUUGUCCACGGCAACCGGCCUAUCUGAUUGAACCUUGUUGUAGGCAGUGACACCCGCAUAAUGUAUCAUCCUGUCAGUGCUUUUUUAUCACAGGCAUUUAUUUUGGUCACGGCUGGUGAUAACUUUGGUGUUUAUCCCUUGUGUUGUUACGGGCACAGCCGCGAUCUGGUUUAUACCCUCUUUCCCCUGCAGGCUAGCGGUGACGGAGCCGCUCCGAGGAGGCUCCCCCCCCUACUCCUCUCUCGCCAGAGACACCACUCCUGUCUGCCCUCCCGCCCCGCGCUGCCGCGGCCCUUGCUAGGAACGGAUCGAUCUGUUUGGUUUGGUUCGGCGCCUGCCCCCGCUUGCUCCGGCCUCCCCUGGGGCUGGGUUAUCUUGGGUCAUGCGGAGCUGGCGCGGAGUACUGGGUGCGGUAAGAAGCUCCGUCGGAGCCCCGUGCGAGAGGGAGUGAGCCAGGGGAAGAAAGUGCCGUCCGCAACUCUCCAUCAAUUCAGACACUUCAAAAGUAAAUAAAGCAGGGCAGGGAAGGGCCUCCAGGGAGAGAAGAGGCCUCUGACA